UACGGAGGGUGCAAACGUUGCUCGGAAUCAUUGGGCGUAAAGCGCACGUAGGCGGCUCGUUAAGUCGGGUGUGAAAGCCCUGGGCUCAACCCAGGAAGUGCAUUCGAAACUGGCGAGCUUGAAUAUGGAAGAGGGUCGCGGAAUUCCCGGUGUAGAGGUGAAAUUCGUAGAUAUCGGGAGGAACACCUGUGGCGAAAGCGGCGCACUGGACCAUAACUGACGCUGAGGCGCGAA
rnacentral:rRNA from 1 species